rnacentral:rRNA from 1 species
AUUGAACGCUGGCGGAAUGCUUUACACAUGCAAGUCGAACGGCAGCACGGACUUCGGUCUGGUGGCGAGUGGCAAACGGGUGAGUAACAUAUCGGAACGUAUCCAAUAAUGGGGGAUAACUAAUCGAAAGGUUGGCUAAUACCGCAUACGCCCUACGGGGGAAAGCAGGGGAUCUUCGGACCUUGCGUUAAUGGAGCGGCUGAUAUCUGAUUAACUAGUUGGUGAGGGAAAGGCUCACCAAGGCGACGAUCAGUAGCUGGUCUGAGAGGACGACCAGCCACACGGGAACUGAGACACGGUCAAGACUCCUACGGGAGGCAGCAGUGGGGAAUUUUGGACAAUGGGCGCAAGCCUGAUCCAGCCAUUCCGCGUGAGUGAAGAAGGCCUUCGGGUUGUAAAGCUCUUUCGCAAGGGAAGAAAACUUACUUUCUAAUAAAGAGUGAGGUUGACGGUACCUUGAUAAGAAGCACCGGCUAACUACGUGCCAGCCGCCGCAGUAA